AAUGCAUGGUGAGUCAUUUUUCCUAUAAGCUCUUUGAACCUCUCCCAUGCAUCAGGAACAACUUUAUUGUCCACUUGUUUAAAAAGACAAAUUUUAUUUCUGGACUUU